UACGUAGGAUCCAAGCGUUGUCCGGAUUUACUGGGCGUAAAGGGUGCGCAGGCGGACUUGUAAGUCAGGGGUGAAAUCUCACAGCUCAACUGUGAAACUGCCUUUGAUACUGCAAGUCUUGGAUCCAGAAGAGAGUUGUGGAAUUCCGAGUGUAGCAGUGAAAUGUGUAGAUAUUCGGAAGAACACCAGUGGCGAAGGCAGCAACUUGGUCUGGUAUCGACGCUCAGGCACGAAAGCAUGGGGAUCAAACAGG
rnacentral:rRNA from 1 species